ACGAACGCUGGCGGCGUGCUUAACACAUGCAAGUCGCACGGAAAGGCCCUGCUUUUGUGGGGUGCUCGAGUGGCGAACGGGUGAGUAACACGUGAGUAACCUGCCCUUGACUUUGGGAUAACUUCAGGAAACUGGGGCUAAUACCGGAUAGGAGCUCCUGCUGCAUGGUGGGGGUUGGAAAUUUUCGGCGGUUGGGGAUUGACUCGCGGCUUAUCAGCUUGUUGGUGGGGUAGUGGCUUACCAAGGCUUUGACGGGUAGCCGGCCUGAGAGGGUGACCGGCCACAUUGGGACUGAGAUACGGCCCAGACUCCUACGGGAGGCAGCAGUGGGGAAUAUUGCACAAUGGGCGGAAGCCUGAUGCAGAAACGCCGCGUGCGGGAUGACGGCCUUCGGGUUGUAAACCGCUUUCGCCUGUGACGAAGCGUGAGUGACGGUAAUGGGUAAAGAAGCACCGGCUAACUACGUG
rnacentral:rRNA from 1 species